AUUGAACGCUGGCGGCAGGCCUAACACAUGCAAGUCGAACGAGUGGCGGACGGGUGAGUAAUGUCUGGGAAACUGCCUGAUGGAGGGGGAUAACUACUGGAAACGGUAGCUAAUACCGCAUACCAUCGGAUGUGCCCAGAGGGGAUUAGCUAGUAGGUGGGGUAACGGCGCACCUAGGCGACGAUCCCUAGCUGGUCUGAGAGGAUGACCAGCCAAACUGGAACAGAGACACGGUCCAGACGCCUACGGGAGGCAGCAGUGGGGAAUAUUGCACAAUGGGCGCAAGCCUGAUGCAGCCAUGCCGCGGGUGUGAAGAAGGCCUUCGGGUUGUAAAGUACUUUCAGCGGGGAGGCGUUACCCACAGAAGAAGCACCGGCUAACUCCGUGCCAGCAGCCGCGGUAAUUC
rnacentral:rRNA from 1 species